CAUCCAACUGUGGUGGUCGGAUCUCAGAUCCUUCCACUGUUUGUGCAGAUUCUUCCCUUCAUAUGUUUCAGCCAAACCAAGACAACUAUCUUCUUACCAUUGUUGCAUGUCAAUUGUUACCUUUUAGGUGCCUUCUGCCUUGAUUUCUUGGUACUCAAAAAAUAUAUAUUUGAAUGUUUUUUUUUCACAGUGAGAGCAAGUCGCAAGACCAGCUGUCGUCAUAUGUUUUAGAAUUUCCCAUGUUGCAUGCUCUGCUGCCUGAAAUGGUCCCCUCAAUCUGUUCUUGGAACAGGAUGCCAAUAUGUAAGUUGAUAUUGCAAAUUGAUGGUUUCUGCUCAUGUGCUCCAAGGUUGUCAGGUGUGUUUUUUAUAUCUACAGAAAAGAGAAGGAUUAUUUGGUGGAGCGACAAUAACAACCACAUGAAUGACCAGUGAAGCUGUAGGCCAAGACAAGCAACUAGGAGAAGGACCUUAUAAAGUCAUUGAAGAACUUGCCUCCAUCUUUUGUUCUCAGGGAAGGACACUUUUGCUGAAUGCAUGUUACUGUGAUGUAUUUACCACUACCCCUAAGACACAGUAGACCUACUGCUGGAAGAGGUAUGAAUCUAUGUUAUUUGCCACAAUGGGUUAGAUUAGAUCCAGGCAAAGAGACACAAAUUAGGCCCAUGUCAGUUGGUACGCUGAUAAAUGUAUAAUAAACCAGUGUAUUCUCAUUUUAUUCCUGAUUAGCAUAGAAUUUGUAAAAAAACAAGAAGAAAGUGGUACCAACUAUAGAAAAGUAUUGCCACGUUGAUAAGUAUUUUUAGAAAAUUACUUGGUACUAGUAGAAUGCCCGUGCGUUGCCACGGGCCAACAAAUGAAAUUGUGUAAACAAUGCUCAUUUUCCUCCCCAGAAACGAGCAUAUUGUACGCAAUGUUCAACCACAACACAAAUGCAAGCAUAUUCUUCUCUCUAUUCUUACAAACAUGACACACCCCUCUAGCCG
rnacentral:lncRNA from 1 species